GCCUUCUUGGCUCAGAUGGCAGAGCGUCUGCCUAGUAAGCAGAAGGUCGCCAGUUCGAUUCUGGCAGAAGGCA
rfam:Rhizopus oryzae RA 99-880 supercont3.18 genomic scaffold, whole genome shotgun sequence.